rnacentral:rRNA from 1 species
UACAGAGGUCCCAAGCGUUGUUCGGAUUCACUGGGCGUAAAGGGUGCGUAGGCGGUCGGGUAAGUCUGAUGUGAAAUCUCACAGCUUAACUGUGAAACUGCAUUGGAUACUAUUCGGCUUGAGAGUUGGAGGGGGGACUGGAAUUCUUGGUGUAGCAGUGAAAUGUGUAGAUAUCAAGAGGAACACCAGUGGCGAAGGCGAGUCCCUGGACAACUUCUGACGCUGAGGCACGAAAGCUAGGGGAGCAAACAGG